ACGUAGGAGGCAAGCGUUAUCCGGAGUUACUGGGCGUAAAGGGCGUGCAGGCGGUUGGCUAAGUUCGUUGUGAAAGCGCCCAGGCUUAACCGGGAGAGGACGUGCGAGACUGUGGUUCUGGAGGCAGGCAGAGGCAGGUGGAAUUCCGGGUGGAGUGGUGAAAUGCGUAGAGAUCCGGAGGAACCCCAGUGGCGAAGGCGACCUGCUCGGCCUUGCCUGACGCUCAGACGCGAAAGCAUGGGGAGCGAACGG
rnacentral:rRNA from 1 species